rnacentral:rRNA from 1 species
UACAUGGGGUGCAAACGUUGCUCGGAAUUAUUGGGCGUAAAGCGCACGUAGGUGGUCUGUUAUGUCAGAUGUGAAAGCCCUCGGCUUAACUGAGGAAGUGCACCUGAAACUGGCAGGCUUGAGUACGAAAGAGGGUCGCGGAAUUCCCGGUGUAGAGGUGAAAUUCGUAGAUAUCGGGAGGAACACCGGUGGCGAAGGCGGCUCACUGGCCCGGUACUGACGCUGAGGUGCGAAAGCGUGGGUAGCAAACAGG